rnacentral:rRNA from 1 species
AGCAGUCGCCGCGGGAAUACGGAGGGUGCAAGCGUUAUCCGGAUUUAUUGGGUUUAAAGGGUCCGUAGGCGGAUCUGUAAGUCAGUGGUGAAAUCUCACAGCUUAACUGUGAAACUGCCAUUGAUACUGCAGGUCUUGAGUAAAUUUGAAGUGGCUGGAAUAAGUAGUGUAGCGGUGAAAUGCAUAGAUAUUACUUAGAACACCAAUUGCGAAGGCAGGUCACUAAGAUUUAACUGACGCUGAUGGACGAAAGCGUGGGGAGCGAACAGGAUUAGAGACCCGAGUAGUCCCUGUCUCUUAUAC